rnacentral:rRNA from 1 species
GAUGAACGCUAGCUACAGGCUUAACACAUGCAAGUCGCGGGGCAGCAUGGGGGUUGCUUGCAAUCCCCGAUGGCGACCGGCGCACGGGUGAGUAACGCGUAUCCAACCUGCCCUUCACCACGGGAUAACCCGGCGAAAGUCGGACUAAUACCGUAUGUUGUCCAUUGACGGCAUCCGAUUUGGACGAAAGGUUUGGCGGUGAAGGAUGGGGAUGCGUCCGAUUAGCUGGACGGCGGGGUGACGGCCCACCGUGGCGACGAUCGGUAGGGGUUCUGAGAGGAAGGUCCCCCACACUGGAACUGAGACACGGUCCAGACUCCUACGGGAGGCAGCAGUGAGGAAUAUUGGUCAAUGGGCGUAAGCCUGAACCAGCCAAGUAGCGUGCAGGAUGACGGCCCUAUGGGUUGUAAACUGCUUUUAUGCGGGGAUAAAGUGGCCCACGUGUGGGUUUUUGCAGGUACCGCAUGAAUAAGGACCGGCUAAGUCCGUG